CGGCCCCAGCUGCCUUGGUCACCUCUGACUGCGCCUGCCCUCUCCGCUCCCAUGCUCUCCCUGCGCGCCCCGCUCGCCCCCAUCGCCGACCCCCAGCAGCUGAAGCUGUCGCCCAUGAAGGGGCUCAGCCUGGCGGACAAGGAGAACAUGCCCCUGGCCCUGAGCGGCUCCUGCGUCCUGGACAGCAAGACCGCAAGGAGGAUCUUCCAGGAGCUGGCCGAGCCGAAAACUAAAGGGCCUGACUUCAGGGUAGAGGAUGGACCUCUGCUGAGAGAAAACCCUCGCCGCUUUGUCAUCUUUCCUAUCGAGUACCAUGACAUCUGGCAGAUGUACACGAAAGCUGAGGCCUCCUUUUGGACAGCUGAAGAGGUUGAUCUUACCAAAGACCUCCGGCACUGGGAAUCCCUGAAACCUGUGGAGAGAUAUUUUAUAUCGCGUGUUCUGACUUUCUUUGCAGCAAGAGAUGGCAUAGUAAAUGAAAACUUGGUGGAGCGAUUUAGCCAAGAAGUUCAAGUUACAGAAGCCCGCUGUUUCUAUGGCUUCCAAAUUGCCAUGGAAAACAUACAUUCUGAAAUGUACAGUCUCCUUAUUGACACUUACAUUAAAGACCCCAAAGAAAGGGAAUUUCUCUUCAAUGCCAUUGAGACGAUGCCUUGUGUCAAGAAGAAGGCAGAUUGGGCCUUGCGUUGGACUGGGGACAAAGAGGCUACUUAUGGAGAACGUGUUGUAGCCUUUGCUGCAGUGGAAGGCAUCUGCUUUUCUGGUUCUUUUACAUCGAUAUUCUGGCUCAAGAAAUGAGGACUGAUGCCUGGCCUCACAUUUCCCAAUGAACUUAUUAGCAGAGAUGAGGGCUUACACUGUGACUUUGCCUGCCUGAUAUUCAAACACCUGAUACACAAACCAUCGGAGCAGAGAGUAAAAGAAAUAAUCAUCAAUGCAGUUAGGAUAGAACAGGAGUUCCUCACAGAAGCCUUGCCUGUGAAGCUCAUUGGGAUGAAUUGCAUUUUAAUGAAGCAAUACAUCGAGUUUGUGGCUGACAGACUUAUGCUGGAACUGGGUUUUAGCAAGGUUUUCAAAGUAGAAAAUCCAUUUGACUUGAUGGAUAAUACUUCACUGGAAGGAAUGACUAACUUCUUUGAGAAGAGAGUAGGCGAAUAUCAGAGAAUAUGAGUGAUGUCAAGUCCAACGGAGAAUUCUUUUACUUUGGAUGCUGACUUCUAA